AAAAGACUCAAACUUGCAAAGACACACAUUCACAGUCUCUCAGUUAACUUACCACUUUUGUUCACUCCAAACCCAAACCCAAACCCGAAAACCCAUUUCUCAGUCUUCGGCUUCAGAUCUACCAUGACGCCGCCGUUGAAGGCUGUGACGUUGACGCACGUGCGCUACCAGAAGGGCGACCGCCUAGGGCACUUCCUGGCAUGGAUUUCCCUCGUCCCCGUCUUCAUCUCCUUAGGCGGCUUCGUCUCCCACUUCCUCUUUCGCCGCGAGCUCCAAGGCAUGUUCUUCGCGCUCGGCCUCAUCUUGUCGCAGUUCAUCAACGAAGUCAUCAAGACCUCCGUCCAGCAGGCACGGCCCGCCACCUGCGCACUCCUGGAGAUGUGCGACUCACACGGCUGGCCCUCCAGCCACUGCCAGUACAUGUUCUUCUUCGCCACUUAUCUCACUCUUCUCUCCCUCAAAGGUCUCACCUUCUGGCACGUGCGCGACAACCCUUUCCUCCACCUCCUCACGUGGUCCCUCGCGCUCCUCACCAUGUACUCUCGCGUCUACCUUGGUUACCACACUGUUGCUCAGGUCCUCGCCGGAACUGUGCUUGGGGUUUUUCUUGGUGCGGUUUGGUUCUGGGUUGUUAACUCCGUUUUGCACCCUUACUUUCCUCUUAUCGAAGAGAGCGCGUUUGGGAGAAGGCUCUAUGUGAAGGACACUUCUCAUAUUAGUAAUGUGUUGAAGUUUGAGUAUGAUAUGGCCAGGGCUGAGAGACGGAACUUGACGUCUAAUUCUAAGGAGGAUUGACUGUUUGUCCAAGGCUCUAAGUUCACAUGCAAAACAAAGCACGUCAUAGACUAACAUACUGCUGAACCAGCCAAAAUGAGAGCUUCAGAUACUGUGAACUGAAGCUCAAGGUUAUUCGAUAUUUUGAUUGCUGCCAUUAUCAUUAGAAUUAGGACACCGAGACCCCCUUUACUGCAUAUUGUGGCAUAUGGCUCCAAAUUUUUCUUUUAGGAUUUGUGUUCGUUGGUCUUUAUGGCAUUAUUAUUAUAUAUAGAAACCUAUUGGCUCAGUCACUCAUAAAUGGUACCAAUGAAGAAAGCUGAAGAGCACAAUUACAUGAUACAGUGAUGUCUGUUGAAUAGAACUGUGUAAAGAUGGACGUGAUGCUAUAGAUAGAGAAAUGAAUAUUCUAUCUUGUUUACUUACAUGGGUUUUAAAAGAUGUAUUGACACAAAUAUAGCUAAUGGUUUAUUCAGAAGGGUUAGAUAUGUUUUUAGUCCCUCAACUAUCAUGUGAUUUUAGAUUUAGUCUCUCUUUCAAACUUUGGGACACUUUGAUCCUUAUUUUUAAGGAAACUGUAAUAUUUUGUUCUCCAAAAGUAACGCCAUUAAAAUUAAGAUGAGCUGACUAAUGGUGUGCUACAUUAUUUUUUCUUUUUCUAAAACUGAGUCAAUUCUUUCUUGCUUUU